rnacentral:rRNA from 1 species
CCUACGGGUGGCAGCAGUGGGGAAUAUUGGGCAAUGGGCGCAAGCCUGACCCAGCAACGCCGCGUGAAGGAAGAAGGCUUUCGGGUUGUAAACUUCUUUUCUGAGGGACGAAGAAAGUGACGGUACCUCAGGAAUAAGCCACGGCUAAUUACGUGCCAGCAGCCGCGGUAAUACGUAGGUGGCAAGCGUUAUCCGGAUUUAUUGGGUGUAAAGGGCGUGUAGGCGGGAAAGCAAGUCAGAUGUGAAAACUCAGGGCUCAACCCUGAGCCUGCAUUUGAAACUGUUUUUCUUGAGUGCAGGAGGGGCAGGCGGAAUUCCUGGUGUAGCGGUGAAAUGCGUAGAUAUCAGGAGGAACACCGGUGGCGAAGGCGGCCUGCUGGACUGCGACUGACGUUGAGGCCCGAAAGCGUGGGGAGCAAACAGGAUUAGAUACCCUAGUAGUC